AGGUCUCUUCAUAGUUGGAAGUUAUGAAAUUGGAGAUCCGGGAGCAAUAUAAUACCAGUUCUAAUUCUACAUAAUCUACUACUCCUAGGAGAAAGAGGCUGGCCUGGUUGAAUUUGACAAGGUUGACUGUUCUGUGACCAAGGAGGACAUAAUAAAUCACGGCAUUUGAAGAACAUCCUGAGUUCAAAGGUAUGUAUGAUUAGGU
rnacentral:lncRNA from 1 species